ensembl:lncRNA
CACCCUGCAUCCAAUCAGAAUCGAGUAUUCCCGCAGACCGUGGUAUAAGUGGUGGCUAUUAUGACACGGCUCUUCUCAAUGCCGUGGAACGCUCCGUUCACUUGCAUGUGCCCUUCACAACAACGCCAGCUUCUUCGGUUGCUAAGCGACGUCAACGUCUUUGGCUAACUAUUUCUCUGCUGAUCAACACUACGUAUGCUUACUGUGGCAACCUCACGCCGUCUGCCAUGGACAAGCCGCCCCAGCACCCUGAACAGCGCCCUCUCCGUGGGCAGGAGUGAGCCGGAGGCGUCGGGAGCGGAUUCCCUGCCGACCCCGAGAACGGACCUGACCAGGCGGCCCCUGCACCCUUAUUCCCCAUUGUGGAAGAACCUAAGUUCUAUUCCUUUUUCCGUUUUUCUUGAGCGGGACGAAAUAAAUCGUUGCACCGCAACCCUGUGUGAGCAUCUCAAUGAGAAAUCCCAGCCGACGACGAG